UGAACGCUGGCGGUAGGCCUAACACAUGCAAGUCGAACGGCAGCACAGUAAGAGCUUGCUCUUACGGGUGGCGAGUGGCGGACGGGUGAGGAAUACAUCGGAAUCUACUUUUUCGUGGGGGAUAACGUAGGGAGACUUACGCUAAUACCGCAUACGACCUACGGGUGAAAGCAGGGGAUCUUCGGACCUUGCGCGAUUGAAUGAGCCGAUGUCGGAUUAGCUAGUUGGCGGGGUAAAGGCCCACCAAGGCGACGAUCCGUAGCUGGUCUGAGAGGAUGAUCAGCCACACUGGAACUGAGACACGGCCCAGACUCCUACGGGAGGCAGCAGUGGGGAAUAUUGGACAAUGGGCGCAAGCCUGAUCCAGCCAUACCGCGUGGGUGAAGAAGGCCUUCGGGUUGUAAAGCCCUUUUGUUGGGAAAGAAAAGCAGCAGGUUAAUACCCCGCUGUUCUGACGGUACCCAAAGAAUAAGCACCGGCUAACUUCGUG
rnacentral:rRNA from 1 species